UGGGAGUAGAGGAAGUAGAGGAGAAAGAGACUGUAGUGGAGGAACAAGCUGAGAACACAGCAAGACCAUUGGACAUAGAGGUGAUGCCGGCCCGACCAACUGAGGAGACCACCCAGACAAGACGCGGUUGGUGGACACCAAAUUGCCUGAGAAGACAAAACAAGAGCAGCAGGUAAGUAAUAAUUUACCUUCAGUCUACCUGUAACUGCCACUUGAAGGAGCUCACUGCAUAGGGGUUUACACAGUGAACUCUAUGAUACAUCAGCAUGCAAUGAGCUCCCCCUAUUGGCCACAGAAA